AAAACGACUCUCGGCAACGGAUAUCUCGGCUCUCGCAUCGAUGAAGAACGUAGCGAAAUGCGAUACUUGGUGUGAAUUGCAGAAUCCCGUGAACCAUCGAGUCUUUGAACGCAAGUUGCACCCGAAGCCUUUAGGCCGAGGGCACGCCUGCCUGGGCGUCACA
rnacentral:rRNA from 1 species